rnacentral:rRNA from 1 species
UACGUAGGUGGCAAGCGUUGUCCGGAAUCACUGGGCGUAAAGGGCGCGUAGGCGGCUUUGUAAGUCGGGGGUGAAAGCCUGUGGCUCAACCACAGAAUUGCCUUCGAUACUGCAUGGCUUGAGACCGGAAGAGGUUAGUGGAACUGCGAAGUGUAGAGGUGAAAUUCGUAGAUAUUCGCAAGAACACCAGUGGCGAAGGCGGCAUCCUGGCCCGUACCUGACGCUGAGG